rnacentral:lncRNA from 1 species
GACCAAUCAGAUUUCCCUCCUAAUUCUUGUUGAUCCAAUCAGCAUCUCUGCCCUUGGUAUUUAAAAAUGGGACACUGUGAUACCAUUCAGGUACUUAAUGGGCUGAAGUUGAGAUCUUGGUGCAGUUCCAGGCUGGGGUGGCCAUUUCCCCUUGUGUUCAGAGAAGCAAAGUCAGUCUGCAGAAAGAGAAGUCUGGAAUAGAUACGCAAUGGGUAGAGGCUAGGAACCCCAGAAUCACAGAGACAUGGUGCAGUGAGUGCUGCAGGUACUAACCAGCUAACCAGACACUGAGGAGCAGGCAUGGGCUUCUUAGUCAUGGCCAUGCACAGCCUUCCUCUACCACAUAGGCUGAAUGCUAAAUGCCUCGUUUUUCCUGCCUCCCUUGCAGCUGGGACAGGCCAUGUUGUACAGAUCAGGCUGCUGACACAUAAGUAAAAGCCCUGGGAGAGCUUCCCUUCUGGAAUAAGAGGUGAGGUUCACUAGGAGGACAAUUCCACCCUUUGUCCUUUUGCCUGGUCUUUUUUUCACUCCUGGAGCUCAGACUGAGAGCAAGAACAGCUGCUUUGGCCAAGCAAGGCGCCAAGCAAGAGGCCAAAGCCCAGCUGCCACAGAUGAUGGAGUAAAAGGACAAGAGGACUUGGGUGGGGCCCGGUGGCAUCUCUGAGCUCCAGAACCUAAACUUCUUACAGAGGACAAAUAAGUCCCUCCCCAUGUAAGCCACCGUUGCUUGGUAUGUUUGUGCUGGGGAACAAAUUGCCCAAAUCUUCAUGACUGAAAAUAGCAGAUAUUAUUUCUCAUGAUUCCAUGGGUACAGCUGUGCACUUUUACUCUCUUGGCUGACAUGGCUGGGGCUGGGUGAUUUAGGGUGGCCUCACUUCCUGCCACCCUAGGAGACAUUUGACAGUAUCUGGACAUCAUUUUGAUUGUCACAAUGCAGACAGGAGGAUUCUACUAUCAUCUCACAGGUAGAGGCCAGAAUCCUGCUAAACGUCCUACAAUGCAUAGAACAGCUCCCAAGAACAGAGGAUCAUUUCAUCUUAAAUGUCAGCGUCUGCAAGUUUGAGAAACUGCCCUACAGAGGCCUUGACCGGGACACCUUCUCUCAGCUCAGCACACUCUUAUCACCCAGCAGGCCAGACCAGGCUUGUCCACAUGGUGGUGUCACAGGUCCGAGAGCAAGCCUGGUGCUCUGGCACUUUUCAAGUCUCUACCUGCCUUGCGUGCGUUAAUUUCCCACCUGACAAAGACAGAGACAGAUUUUUACCAUUUGCCCACAUUGGGCUUCUGUUAUUUGAAGCUUUAUAUAAUCCCAACUGAAGCAGAAGGAGAAAGUGAUGUUGACUGCCAGUGACAUCCUGGUUCCUAGUGCCUCUCCUUGUGAAGUCUGGAUCUCUGUUAUUUGCAACCAAACUGGCCUUUACAAAGACACUUUCCUGCUGUCCCCACGAGCGGGUCUGAGAAGCUACAGGCAACCUUUCCUUGGGGAGUUAUGCUGAUAGAAUACCUGCAGUCCCUGCAAACCCCCCAGUCCACCUGCACCUCUAAGAAGCUACAAGAACUUCCUUCUGCCCUUGCCAAUGGCAGCUAUGUGGAUUCUUGGAAUCGUGACUUUGCAGAUAAGGCCGGCUAUGACAUGCCGAAACAUAACUCCAUUUUUGCCUCCAGUCACAGCUGAGACCUCAAUGGUCCAGUGAUGCUGUGAUACUCCAGGGCAAGAUUACACCAGCUGAAGACAUCCUGGUUCCUUGAAAACUGAGUAGUAAGAGAAAGAUUUCACCUGGGGAGGACAAAUUCCUUAUCAGCUUAACUCAUCCCACCUACUGUUAUUUCUCAAGAGAUGAGAAAAGCCUCUGAGGCCAGGCAGGCUGUGAUUCUGACUCCUGUCCACACCCAGAAUGCUUCGAUUGACUAUUUGUGCUUCCUUGAACCUUGACCUCUGAGCAUCUUUCCAACUCAUCAAGGGACUCCUGAUGACUGCAGAGAGAUUGUAAUGAUUAAUUAGCGGCUGGUAUUUGUGAAGUGCUAAGCGGAUGCUGCAUUUUAUGAGCCAUCUUUAUGUCUCACCGCUUGCUAAUCCUUGGUGGUUUCCCAGCGUGGCAGGCUGGGGGGACCACACGGUUCUGGCAGGCUCUAGAGUGUCCCCCAGGUCUUGUGCCAUCUCCUCAUCACCCC